UACGGAGGGUGCAAGCGUUAUCCGGAUUCACUGGGUUUAAAGGGUGCGUAGGCGGAUAGGUAAGUCCGUGGUGAAAUCCUGCAGCUUAACUGCAGAACUGCCGUGGAUACUAUCUAUCUUGAAUGUCGUGGAGGUUAGCGGAAUAUGUCAUGUAGCGGUGAAAUGCUUAGAUAUGACAUAGAACACCCAUUGCGAAGGCAGCUAACUACGUGAUAAUUGACGCUGAGACGCGAAAGCGUGGGGAGCGAACCGG
rnacentral:rRNA from 1 species